rnacentral:rRNA from 1 species
UGGGGAAUAUUGCACAAUGGGGGAAACCCUGAUGCAGCGACGCCGCGUGAGCGAUGAAGGUUUUCGAAUCGUAAAGCUCUGUCCUAUGGGAAGAUAAUGACGGUACCAUGGGAGGAAGCCCCGGCUAACUACGUGCCAGCAGCCGCGGUAAUACGUAGGGGGCGAGCGUUGUCCGGAAUUACUGGGCGUAAAGGGUUCGCAGGCGGCAUGGCAAGUCCGAUGUAAAAGGCGAAGGCUCAACCUUCGUAAGCAUCGGAAACUGUCAAGCUUGAGUGAAGGAGAGGCAAGUGGAAUUCCUAGUGUAGCGGUGGAAUGCGUAGAUAUUAGGAGGAAUACCGGUGGCGAAGGCGACUUGCUGGACUUCAACUGACGCUGAGGAACGAAAGCGUGGGUAGCAAACAGG